UUUUUUCUUGAAAUUUUAAGUUUCUAUCUUGUACAUUCUGACUUUUUCUUAUAACUUUUAUAUCUCACAAUUCUGCAUUUAUAUCUUACAAUCCUGAGUUUCUGUCUUGUAAUUCUGAAAUGUUUCUUGUAAUUCUGUUUAUAUCUCACAGUUCCGAGUUUCUGUCUUGUAAUUCUGACUUUUAUGUCUCACCAUUCUGAGUUUACAUUUUGCGAUUCUGACUUUAUUUCUCAGAAUUGAGAGAAAAAGUCCAAAUUGUGUGACAAACAUACCUGUUUUCAAUCCUUUGGUGGAACAAGUUUCCAUAGUUUCUGAUUCUGGCCCAGUGUCCGCGAAUGAUAAGGAAAGUUAUGGAGCGUUUGAGAUGGAGAAACAGAUUGAGGACCAGACAUGGCGUUGUAGUGACGCUGAGCAGCUGUUGUGCUCUGCUGGAGUUUCAGUAUUAGGAAGAUUUAAAUGUCAUGUAGGAUGAUGGUCAUGUGAUAAUUACCCAGAGAGAAUUUGGUAGGAAGGAACUUUACUUUUCCCCCAUUUGUUGUCUAUUUCAUGCACUGUUCAUAAAUUGAAUUUAAAAUAGGGCAAACAGUGGUUCAUAACAAUCCACAUCAUAUACAACCCAUAGCUUUGUCAACUGACCGUCACGCAUCAUGCUGUAUCAUUGCCUACCAUAUUGUGUAGUAGAACAUUAUAUUGGAAUGUAACCAGUCUUUAAACUGAUUGGACAGGUGGACGUUUCCACCUUCAUGAUUUAACGAUCUCCAGAAGCUGUUUAUAACCAAAGACGUGGCCAUGUACUCAAUCAGUUACUUUAAACUGUGCCAUUUAUUUUACUUAGCUUUAUCAAGUUAUUUCUGUUUUUGACAGAUAGUAGGACACGUCUAUGACUUUAAUAUAUUGUAUUCUGUAUUUUCUUAUUGAUCUUUUUAUGUAGUAAUAUAUUUUCACACAUGCAGCUGACUUGGAAAGUUAAAAAAAGACUACAUGGAAGGAUUUUGAUAAGAAAAGUUUUUUUUAUUAUUACCAUGUUAUUUUUUCAGUAUAUGAACAAGUGAAGAAUAUAAUAAAUGUAAAGUCAUGGUACCAAA